UGCCAUUUGUUUUCCUUUCUAAAAAAUUCAGAAAACUGCCCCUUUUCCCCCAUAUUCAUUCUCUGCUAAGGGUUAGAAAAUAACCCAUCACUGCAGUCAUCCGACCACCGCGCCACCAUCACAUUGGUGACCGGCGAUGCACCAAGAUGCGCUCCCUUAGCCCUCCUUUUCAUGCUCAUUGGAGACAUAUUCCUAAAGGCCGAAAGACAAGGGCUCAACCCUCCCUUUUUGCUUGACCACGCCGAACGGAGAAGAAAGCUCCGACGACGCGGUCACGAGGCUGAUUUGGCGCACGAAGGUCAACGAGACGUACAUGGCCGCUUUGGUGCAACGGGGGAAUGGAGGGCCGAACCUCGGGGGCCGAGCAUGCCGAGGGCGCACAUGGAGGCGCAACACCCUAAGCUGUUAGGGUUUCUGAGUUAUUUUGUGUUUUGGGCCGUUUUUUGCUUGGGCCUUGUGGUAAAAUGGACUGUUGUUAUUAUUUUGGUUUUUGUUUAAACGGGCCAGGCAAAAUUGGGCCCUUACAUUUAGGAUAUAA